UUUCCGUAGGUGAACCUGCGGAAGGAUCAUUACCGAGUGGGGGCCCUCUGGGUCCAACCUCACACCCGUGUUUCUUAUACCUUGUUGCUUUUUCGGGCCCUCCUCCCGGCUGAGGGGGGGCUUCUGCCCCCGGGCACGUGCCCGCCGAUGACACCUUAGAACUUUGUCUGAAGAUUGUAGUCUGAGUAAAAAUAUAAAUUAUUUAAAACUUUCAACAACGGAUCUCUUGGUUCCG
rnacentral:misc_RNA from 1 species